GCUGGGGUGGCAGAUCGGCCAUGCAUCCGCCUGCAGAAACUUUUCUUUAGAAAAGAAAAGUUUACAAAAGAAAGCAAAAGAAAGCAAAAGAAAGCUGUCUUUUGCAGCUUUUGGUUGCUGUAAGCGGAAGAGAUGGGUUCGACUCCCAUCCUCAGCU
rnacentral:tRNA from 1 species